UUAGAUACCCUGGUAGUCCACGCCGUAAACGAUGUCGACCAGCCGUUGGGUGCCUAGCGCACUUUGUGGCGAAGUUAACGCGAUAAGUCGACCGCCUGGGGAGUACGGCCGCAAGGUUAAAACUCAAAUGAAUUGACGGGGGCCCGCACAAGCGGUGGAGCAUGUGGUUUAAUUCGAUGCAACGCGAAGAACCUUACCUACUCUUGACAUCCUGCGAACUUGUGAGAGAUCACUUGGUGCCUUCGGGAACGCAGAGACAGGUGCUGCAUGGCUGUCGUCAGCUCGUGUUGUGAAAUGUUGGGUUAAGUCCCGUAACGAGCGCAACCCUUGUCCUUAUUUGCCAGCGCGUAAUGGCGGGAACUCUAAGGAGACUGCCGGUGACAAACCGGAGGAAGGUGGGGACGACGUCAAGUCAUCAUGGCCCUUACGAGUAGGGCUACACACGUGCUACAAUGGCCGGUACAAAGGGUUGCGAGCUCGCGAGAGUCAGCUAAUCCCGAAAAGCCGGUCUCAGUCCGGAUCGGAGUCUGCAACUCGACUCCGUGAAGUCGGAAUCGCUAGUAAUCGUGAAUCAGAAUGUCACGGUGAAUACGUUCCCGGGCCUUGUACACACCGCCCGUCA
rnacentral:rRNA from 1 species